CGUGACACUCACGCUCCAGGGUUUAGUUAAAUAUAUCUGGAGGUAAAAAUGUCCUGGUCAUCAAGGAAAAGCAUCAUCGAGAGGCUAUCAGUCACUGUGCUGGGACUUUUGUGCACCCAGGUUUGCUGUGUGACAGGCGCGGAGGUGGAGCAGAAGCCCCCAGUCCUGAGUCUCCAGGAGGGAGCCAGUGCCACGCUACAGUGCAAUUUUUCCACCUCUGCCACUAAUGUGCAGUGGUACCGCCAGGAUCCUGGGGGCCGCCUCAUCCUCCUGUUUUACAUUCCUUCGGGGACAAAGAAGAAUGGAAGGUUAAGCUCUACGACAGUAGCUAAGGAACGCCGCAGCUCGCUGUACAUUUCCUUGUCCCAGACCACAGACUCAGCCACUUAUUACUGUGCCGCAGAACCACAGUGCUCCCCAGGCACCUGCAGCCUGUGCACAAACCCUCAGCUGUUCUUGGCUCCUCCUCCAGCCGGCUCCUCCAGCAGGAGCCCAUCACGCAGCACCUGCACAGCUCACUACUCUUUACUCUAUUGGUAGAGUUGGAACCAGACACUUUUUGGUCCUACAGAUUUGGGACGUUGGUCUUCAUCUUCCCUUCUCAACCCGGUAUCUCUUUCUCUGCACUAUAAACCACUAUAAACCUCUAACUUGGAACAUGCAAAAUAGCUAA